UGCAUCGGCCGGGAAUCGAACCCGGGGCCGCCCGCGUGGCAGGAGAGCAUUCUACCACUGAACCACCGAUGA
rnacentral:tRNA from 1 species